CUGGAUAUAGCACUUUUUCAUUAGUACUUUCAAAUUUCUUAUAUGAAGUUGCUUGUGCUGAUUUUAAUUAAUUUCAUUAUUUGUUUAAUGGAAUUUCUAAAUUCUUUUAGUCUUUUGAUGAGCUACUGUUUCUGCAACACAGUAGUUUUCUUCUGCAUGUCCAAAUCAAUCUCAAGGAAUAUUAGAGAAAACAUUCUUAUAAAUUCACCCUCUGAAAUUUAGCAUUUUAUUUUGGAAAUAAUUCUUCAAACAUAUUUUUAAUGUGCUUUUUCCUUUCUUUCACAUUCUGCAACAGUCUCAAGGUAAGGACUAAAGGCCAGUUUUUUGAGAAAGUUGCCAGAGGCUGGGAAAAGCUAAUGGCUUGCUAGUUACUCAGCUGUUAUAGGCUGUGAAGGACUUCCAUAGCACCUUGCAUUUCUUAGUCAUAUACUUGAUAUUUGAAAAUGUUGCAUUCCCAAUUUGUUCGGUUGCUUAUGUUUCUUUGUCAAAUUUUUAAUCAUCAGUAAAGCAUAUUAGUUUGUCAUUACCUUCAGAAUGUGGAUCAUAUAUCAUGCAUAUAUUUUUCUCUGUCAAUGCUGAGAGUAUUUGCAACACAUUUCAGAUGACAAAACACCUCAAAAUAGAAAAAUAGUGGGAUUUACAAAUAGAUCUGCUGGUAGAUACCGUCCACAGUCACCCAUCAAGAAUUGCAGCCUGAGGCACAGGACAUCUGCUUUAGGCAUUUCAAAUGUCAAAUACUUAAUUUCUAAUGAGAUCAUAAAACAAAUUUUUAUAUUCUUUGUUACGUACUUGUGAUAUAUUAAGCUUUAGUCUUACAAUCUCAUUACAUAUUUGUGUAUAGUUUUCCUUUUCAUUAUUCUAGGGUGACAAAGGUGUACCAGAAUUGAAUAUGGAGUAGGAAAAGACAACCAUUUCCUGAAGCAACACCAUAAACAGCAGGCUGGGGAAGGAAGCAUACAAACAUAGAGUUAUAAAAUUGGGCCCCAUCACAAAAUCAAGAUAGCUGCUUGUGAUUAGAAAUGAGUAAAACCAGGAAAAAUUAUCUUUGUGCCUUUAUUUAAACUGAAGAUAUGGUUAAAAGGCUUAAAGUGAUCCCAUCUACAAACAUGAUUUUGAGGAAAUGGGUAGUACUGUUGAUUUAAAUUAGAACAAGGCUCAUCAUUGACUUAUAAAUUAAGGAGUGGUACAGCCUGGACUUAGGCACUGGACUUGAAUCAUACUGAUGAUUUGUUAAUAUAAUUUCUGGCAUGUUUUGCUCUAACAUGAUUAAAAUCUGCAGAAAAAAUCCUAUUCACAAUCAAGCUAAAGUCAGCUUAACUCCGUUCUCAGUGCAUGGCAUGGUUGUGCCACCCUGUUGAAAACACCAGAGCAUUUAAUAGAGGGAACGUGGCCAGGCUGUGCCAGAUGGACUCAGGGAUAAAAAACUAACCCCGACAAUUUUAGUUAUAAAUUUAGAUGUUACCAGAGCAUUUCAGGGAUUUAAUCUGGUCUAUAAUAUUUAGUCUUAUUUUAGUCUGUAAUUAUAAAGUCUGGGAGGCUGAGGCUAUGCUGAUCCAAUGUGCAAGUUGUGGAAACCUGACUGAAUUCUACUAAGGUUAGGAUCUUAGAAAAAGUAUUUCAAAAUUAUUCUCAACAUUGAGCCAGUAGGCCUGAAGCUUAAAAAUAAUUUUCUAUGGGAGGAAAAGUAAGCUCUGCCAAAUUUUGCAACCAUUAAUCUAAAAUCCUGUAUUAUAUCUGAACUACAUUAAUUUAUAUGUAACUUCACACAAGGCAUGCUUUUUCCACAAAAGGUUUAAUGUGUAACCUGAUUUUUGCGGUGGUCUAAACAGAAUUUAAAACUGCCUGAAUUUCUUUUUAAGUACAUUUCCAUAAAUGCUUCUAUCAAAAUGCUGUCAGUAUUUUAUAACACUUUCCUGCCCACCUGAGUGUCUCCUCUGUUGCAGUGCUCAAAAUGAGGUGUUUAUAAUGGUAAUGCAAUUUUUCUGCUUUUUGUUUACUUCUGUGGUUGAUUUUCCUUUAAUACAGUUUGCUAGUAAGCUUUUUCAGAGCAGAGAGGGUGAGUGUUAGGAAGGAAGCUCUUUUCUCCAUGCUCUCAAUGAGAGGCAAAGUGAUUUCUGUCCUUACGUGUGCAUGAGAAAUAGGAGAAAGCACUGCAAAAUAGAAGCAGGGGAGGAAUGGACACACAGACAAACUGUGAAAUUUUAAAAAACUUCUUUACUUAGGUAUGAAAAACACCUCUUGGAAAUAAUUUGACUCAUUUUUGGAACUUCAGCAGGAAAUUCAUCUUUUAGUGUAGUUCUCUUACUUUGAAUUGCUAUUAUUGAGCUAUGGAUGCUGAAGAGUUAAAGACUGCAAAGAAAAAAUGUGAAAUGUAUCAUGUAAUUGUGGGGUUUUUUUAACCGAUGCUUCAAAAUGUUUAGGUACUUUUGUGUUGAAGCAUGUAGAGAAACAAUUAUCUUAUGUGAACUAAAGACUUUGUAGUAAAGUUAUUAAGUGCAAAACAGAUUUGUGUACCAUGCAAGAUGAAAUCAAAUAUGUAUUCUAAUAUGGUUCAACCACAAAAAAUUCUUAAGUAAAAUAUUUUUAUGAAACUUGAAGUUAUCAAAUUCCGUGGACAUGAUCCAAAAUCCACUGCCGUUUUAAGUCCCAGUAAAUUAUACAGGACAUUGCCUGAAACAAAGAUAAAUGAUUUUAAAUAAUAAAGAGAGGAACCAAAAUGCUUUUCUUUUCUAAUAUUCCCUCAGUGCACAUCUGCCUGCAUGUUCACUUCCAGGCUUCAUGCCUACCGAAAAAACUGCUGGCUUUUCAGUAGGGAAUCAAAAUCAGAACUAUUUGGGCUGAAAUCCAUAAUCUUUUUUUUGGAUCAGCUUUCAUGAUGCCCUGUACGGGUUGCACUUAUGCAGGUAUUCCAACCUCUGGUUUACAUGGAUCACAGACACUUUUUCAGUGCAAAGACAUGAUCUAUUGUGCAAGUCUACACAUCAGGAGGUGUGAGUUGCAGAAGCAGCUCAGCUGCAUAGAUCUCUAGGACUGCAAGACAACCAAACAUGGAAAGGAAGUUAAAUGUAAGAAGUUUAUUUUUCUUUCCUCAUUACUGAUUACUCUUGGAACAUUAUUUCUGUUAUAUUUCUAGGCUAACUGACUGUUUCUUACAAGUCUCUAAAUUUCCAACUAUGAUGGAAAUGUCAGACUUGAUAUGUAUUAAGGAAUUAAUGUAGAAAUUAGGUGUCCAGUCUGUGUUAAUCAUCUGAUCUCAACCCCAUAACCAGUGGAUAGAGACCAGCAAAUCCAAGGAGUGCUUUAUUCCUUACUGCAAUAGAUGCCUAAAACCAGUGGAAUAAAUAAUGCUCUGAGAAUGCGUCUUUCUCCAUCAACAAGCUAUACUACCACAAAGAUUUUUGACAGCUCAGUUUUCUAUAGACAGGUUUAAUAUCAGAUUUAUGUACCAAUACAAUAAAAGUAGCAAUCAUGAGCAAUGUUGCAGGAUUAUGAGAAUAAUAUAAAACAAUGAUGAAGUGAAUGAUAUUUAAAUCAGAAACUUGUCAUCUCAUUUAACUGGCAGAGGGGAGGGAAGAAAAGGUCUUAGCCUUUGUAUUAAUUCAUAGAUGAGUUCGGUAUCUCAGGAGAUGCACUGACUCUUAGAACACAGAGCUACUCAUAAAAAAAAUAUUAGAGACAUUCUAAUGUGUCUCUAAGCACUUUGUUCAAUUAACAUUCAAAACUGAGCUAAAUUACUACUCUACAACAUCCGUAAGCAGAGUACAUAAUUAGCUCACUGUUUUCUUUUUGCACAGAAGAUAGACAAGUAUUCCCUGGUGGAGUGAAUAUGAAUAUCAGAUUGGUUUUAGGUAUAAAACUUUCCCUGAGUUUUAAAGUAGAAGUCCUUUACUGAACUAGUGUGUUUUAAUGCUGGACAGAACUGGAAAAAGCUGCUCUUGAAUUUUUCUUACUAAGACUUGGAGAAGUGCUAUGAUUUGCAUCUGUCUUGUACUCUAACUGUUUUCAAUACAAUGAAGAAUCUUUGGAAUAAAGGCAGGAGUUUUCCUCAUUUACUUAUAUUAAAAGAACAAUGGCUUCCACAAAAGCCCCAGCAGUUAUUAGCACAUAUCACAUCAGGUGCUUGAGAUAUAUUGAUACUUUCACAGAACUCAAAAGGGAAAAUUUGUGCAGCUAGAGAGAAGUAGGAAACAGCAACAUCCAAAUGACUGCAGAGUUGAAAGUCACAGACAUUUGUGGGCUUCAGUUCUUUAUUCCAGUCAAUGAUUUUUAUCAGCAUUUCUAGUAUUUUUAGAGAUUUAUUUCUCCCCUCACUGGGAUAUUCAUAGCAGAUUUAAAGAAAAAGUAAUCAGAUUCAUAACCAAACAUAUUUAAUUUGCACUUUAUCUUCCAUUGGACCAAGGCACUGUGGAAUUUCAGUUAACUCAUUCCAUACAGUAGGUAAAAAUGCUAUUAUGACAGCAUCAGAUUAUGGGUUCCUGGUCACUCAAACAGAGUUAAUUUCUUCCCAGUCCUGCAAAUAAUCUCCCUGAGUUUAUUUGCUUGUUGUAUUCUUUUGCACUUUAGAGUUUUACUAAUAGCUCAAAAUAUUCUUUUGUUUCAUUACAAUAUUUGUCACCCUAAUUCUAUAAAGCUAAGUGCUUCUGUUAGCGUUCAGAAACAUGCAUAAUCACGGGAUAUGAUUAUAUGCAGGUGCUUUUAUUAAGAGCUCUGGGAGUCGGGGUACAAACCCAAAUCUGACUCCGACAUGGCUUUCGAGCUGAACGUUUUUAUAUUCUAUUGUCAUAUAACUUACAUAUUAAUUAUUAAACUUAUAUUGUUCUAUUGUAUACACUGACAUGAGUUUCUCGUGAUCUUUCUCAGGUCCCUGACCACAGUUUCUCAUGACUAUUCUUAUGAUUAAACAGUAAUUAUAUUUAAUUACUAAACAAUCAUCACAUCUAACAAUUAUAUCAUUUAUCAUGUACAGGUGCAGUUCUAGUAAGUACGAGUUCUCCAUGUGCUUAGGGUGUUUAUUUUUCCAGGGCCUACUAAGCUUAUUUUUGCUUUUAACCCUUAAUCCCCAUGAUUUUAAAACCCUUUUACUAUCACUUCUAAGCCUUUUGUUGCCACAUUAACCAUUUCUAUUCCUUCAAUAUUUUCUUCAUUUCCUUUUAAUUUCCUAAUAAGUUUCUCACUCAGUGUUUUAUAUCCUAGACAACCAAGAAAGGCACAUAUUGUUGAAGGCUAAGAGGCUUAUAAUUAGCAUCACAAAGACCUAACUGAAGUAUGGUACAAAUUUUUCCAAGAAGAAAAUUAGGAAAGGAUCUACAUGACUAAAGCAGAGAAACCUUGUUUACAUACUUUUCGUAUGAGCAUUCAGAAAUUGUCUUUUUAGAGAUCAUUUCCUGAUUGCAAUUGCAGAUAUAAAACAUAUAUAUAUAUGAUAUAUGUUACAGAUUGUAUAUUUUUAUAUAUAUACAUUAUAUUUUAUAUAUAGGUAAUAUGUUAUAUAGGAUGUAUAUAUAUGCGUAUGUAUAUAUGUAUAUAUAUGUAUAUAUGUGAUAUGUAUAUAUCACCCUCUGUGAACUCUAGUUAGUGAGAACACUGAGAAUCCAAACUGUUAAAUGUCCUUGGGGAUUUCUUCACAGGAAGCUCAAGAAACAGACUUCCAUAAUCAACUUCCCUCUUGCUGAGCAGAUCUUGCAGUGGGAAAUAGAUGUAGCUGUUCUAGUAUUUUGUGUAAGUGAUUAUUUAGAUCACCCUAAAUGAAAAUUGCUAAGUUUACAACAAUCUACUCACAUCAGGCACUCGCUUUUAAUUCCUAGACCUUCACAGUUGUUUUCUGAGCAUAUUUCAGUCAAUAACUCCAGCCAGUUGGAAGUGUGCAUAUAAAUGAUUGCUGUGCCUCAGUUGGUGAGUGGAAGUCAUCAUUAAGCUGUAAUAGCUUGAUUACAUAUGGCUGCUUACCUGUGAAUCUAUUCUUAGACUUCUCAGGUCAAAUAGAUUAGCCCCACUAGAACUGUGCUUCAGGGGUGGGUUUGAAAUUAAAUUAAAAAUACAAGAAAUUUUAUGCAAAAUAUUGUUAGUGUGGUGAGAACAAGCAAGUAGUUGCAUUAAGAGUAGAAGAAAAUAAGCACAUUUUAUAUACUUGAAAAGUCUAUUGAAAUCCAUCUUUAUGUUUUGAAACUAGGGAUUUCUAAUCAUAUAAAAAUGAGCUGUUUUUUACUCCUGGCAACAUAAUUAUGCAGUGUAGGAAAGUCAUACUUCAAGUUAUUGUUUUGUCACAUUUUCAAAGUGAGAGAUCAUUCAGAGCACCUGUCUGUUCAGCUGCAUCAUUGCUUAUGUUUCUCUCUUUAAAUGCAUGCCUGACUCAUUUGUGUCAUUAUCCAGAGCAAUCAUCACUUAGUCCUGGAGACCCUUGAUCCUGCUCAUUCCUUGUGCUGCUAUGUCAGAAAAUAAAAAGCCACCAUUUCUCAUAUGCAUUUUGUCUCUGAUUUUUAAAAGUGAGGAAGUUUUAUGUUUAGACCUAGAAGAAAAUUCCUUGAAUCAAAACAAAAACAAAAAAAAAAAAGAAAGAAAAAAAAAA
rnacentral:lncRNA from 1 species